rnacentral:rRNA from 1 species
AGAGUUUGAUCCUGGCUCAGAGCAAACGCUGGCGGCGUGCCUAAUACAUGCAAGUCGAACGAUGUAGCAAUACAUAGUGGCGAACGGGAGAGGAACACGUGGGUAAUCUACCCUCGAGAGAAGAAUAACCAGUCGAAAGAUUGGCUAAUACUUCGUAAGACCACAGUAUCUAAUGAUACAGAGGUAAAAGGAGUAAUCCG